UACGUAGGGUGCGAGCGUUAAUCGGAAUUACUGGGCGUAAAGCGUGCGCAGGCGGUUCGUUGUGUCGGCGGUGAAAGCCCCGGGCUUAACCUGGGAAUGGCCGUUGAAACUGGCGAACUGGAGUGUGGCAGAGGGGGGGUGGAAUUCCGCGUGUAGCAGUGAGAUGCGUAGAGAUGCGGAGGAACACCGAUGGCGAAGGCAGCCCCCUGGGCUGACACCUGACGCUCAGGCACGAAAGCGUGGGGAGCAAACAGG
rnacentral:rRNA from 1 species